rnacentral:rRNA from 1 species
UACGUAGGGUGCGAGCGUUGUCCGGAAUUAUUGGGCGUAAAGAGCUCGUAGGCGGUGUGUCGCGUCGGCCGUGAAAACCUGGGGGCUUAACUCUGGGCGUGCGGUCGAUACGGGCAUCACUAGAGUUCGGCAGGGGAGACUGGAAUUCCUGGUGUAGCGGUGAAAUGCGUAGAUAUCAGGAGGAAUACCGAUGGCGAAGGCAGGUCUCUGGGCUGACACUGACGCUCAUGCACGAAAGCGUGGGGGAGCAAACAGG